rnacentral:rRNA from 1 species
GACGAACGCUGGCGGCGUGCUUAACACAUGCAAGUCGAACGGAAAGGCCCUGCUUUUGUGGGGUGCUCGAGUGGCGAACGGGCGAGUAACACGUGAGUAACCUGCCCUUGACUUUGGGAUAACUUCAGGAAACUGGGGCUAAUACCGGAUAGGAGCUCCUGCUGCAUGGUGGGGGUUGGAAAGUUUCGGCGGUUGGGGAUGGACUCGCGGCUUAUCAGCUUGUUAGUGGGGUAGUGGCUUACCAAGGCUUUGACGGGUAGCCGGCCUGAGAGGGUGACCGGCCACAUUGGGACUGAGAUACGGCCCAGACUCCUACGGGAGGCAGCAGUGGGGAAUAUUGCACAAUGGGCGGAAGCCUGAUGCAGCAACGCCGCGUGCGGGAUGACGGCCUUCGGGUUGUAAACCGCUUUCGCCUGUGACGAAGCGUGAGUGACGGUAAUGGGUAAAGAAGCACCGGCUAACUACGUG